rnacentral:misc_RNA from 1 species
CCUUACACUCUCUCUUCCGAAACAAUGGCGGAUUCUCCUGGAAAAAGGUGAACUAGUUGAUUAACACUUGGAGACUUAAUCAGGAGGUUGUACCAGUUAUCAUAACAUAUAGGAAGUGGCUGUGAAUCAUGGCAGACUUGGAAAAUUUGCUUCUUGAGGCAGCAGGAAGAACCGGUGCAGCUGGAAGGAACAGGAAUGCGCUUCCACCAUCUAGGAGGCGACGUGAGGGUUCAUAUUCUGAUGGUGGAAGUGAUUCUAGAGAUGAUGAUUCUGAUGAUGAUCGUGGCUAUGCAAGCAGGAAGCCAUCCGGAUCUCAAGUUCCUUUGAAGAAGAGACUGGACCCCACUGAAAGAGAUGAUGAUCAGGGUAGCCAGGAUGAUGGUGACUAUGAUGAUGGGGGUUCUGAUCGUGAGGGUGAUAGCAGUGAUGAAUCAGAUGUUGGUGAUGAUCUUUACAAGGAUGAGGAUGAUCGGAGGAAGCUUGCUCAGAUGAGUGAACUUGAGAGGGAGAUGAUAUUAUCUGAACGGGCAGACAAAAAAGGUGAUAAGAACUUAACUGAGAGAAUUAGAUCAAAACGGGACAGCGAGAGGCCAACUCGAUCCAGAAAAGAGACUCCACCUCUUCCAUCAUCUCGUGGUGUGCGCACAUCGGCUAGAUCUGCAGACAGGGCAGCUGCCAAAGAUGAUGCAUUGAAUGAAUUGAGAGCUAAACGUUUGAAGCAGCAGGACCCAGAAGCUCACCGUAAGAUGAGGGAUGUUUCUAGAGGAACUUCAGGUGGUCGUGGUUUAUCGCCAAUCAAGCGAAAACACUUCACUUCAGCAAGCCUGAGUAGCUCUAGCAGUGAGAGUGAAAGCAGGUCUCAUAGUGAAGAUGAAGGGUCAACAGGUGAUGGUGGAAUGGGAGACAGUGAUGAGGACAGGGAUCCGGGGUCUGAGGGUCCAACGUUUGAUGACAUAAAGGAAAUCACGAUCCGGAGGUCAAAACUUGCUAAAUGGUUUAUGGAACCAUGGUU